AUGGCACCUGCUUUUAACACCGACUACGCGGCUUUGUGGACCCAUCGUGUGUGGAAUGACGUGCGCACUUUUCCCUGCUCUUGAUUCUGCCAUUUGGAGAUGGUGAUGUGCAAGAGUUACGAAAUGUGUAAACGUGUGCAAGGUCAUCAAGGGAGCAUUCAAGACGUUUCAUCGCUAAACACAAGCUCAAGUGUUCUAAUAAAUGUCAAAUUUCAACACCAA
rnacentral:lncRNA from 1 species